UGUGAUGUGCCAGAUUAAAUGGGAAAUAUUGAUAAUAUUUUUAUGCACUUGGUGUCUUCACAU
rnacentral:tRNA from 1 species